UACGUAGGGUGCGAGCGUUGUCCGGAAUUAUUGGGCGUAAAGAGCUCGUAGGCGGCUUGUCGCGUCGGACGUGAAAGCCCGGGGCUUAACUCCGGGUCUGCAUUCGAUACGGGCAGGCUAGAGUUCGGUAGGGGAGAUCGGAAUUCCUGGUGUAGCGGUGAAAUGCGCAGAUAUCAGGAGGAACACCGGUGGCGAAGGCGGAUCUCUGGGCCGAUACUGACGUUGAGGAGCGAAAGCGUGGGGAGCAAACAGG
rnacentral:rRNA from 1 species